UACGUAGGGUGCGAGCGUUGUCCGGAAUUAUUGGGCGUAAAGAGCUCGUAGGCGGCUUGUCGCGUCGGAUGUGAAAGCCCGGGGCUUAACUCCGGGUCUGCAUUCGAUACGGGCAGGCUAGAGUUCGGCAGGGGAGAUCGGAAUUCCUGGUGUAGCGGUGAAAUGCGCAGAUAUCAGGAGGAACACCGGUGGCGAAGGCGGGUCUCUGGGCCGUAACUGACGCUGAGGAGCGAAAGCAUGGGGAGCGAACAGG
rnacentral:rRNA from 1 species